CAAAUGGUGAAAAACUUUAUUAAAAUUAUAAGAAAACAUUGGAACAAUCUGCAAAAGAAUACAGUGAAAUUUUUACUCAAGUGUCUAUUAUAGCAUAUAAACGUAACAAAAAUAUAAAAGAUUUACUAGCGAAAUCAGGGAAACUGUUGGAAGACUUUUGAAAAUGGACACAUGUUUAAUUACUGGUAGUAAUGAUCUGAAUUAUAGGCAAC
rnacentral:lncRNA from 1 species